UGGAGCAUGUGGUUUAAGUUCGAAGCAACGCGCAGAACCUUACCAGCCCUUGACAUACCGGUCGCGGACACAGAGAUGUGUCUUUCAGUUCGGCUGGACCGGAUACAGGUGCUGCAUGGCUGUCGUCAGCUCGUGUCGUGAGAUGUUGGGUUAAGUCCCGCAACGAGCGCAACCCUCGCCCUUAGUUGCCAGCAUUUAGUUGGGCACUCUAAGGGGACUGCCGGUGAUAAGCCGAGAGGAAGGUGGGGAUGACGUCAAGUCCUCAUGGCCCUUACGGGCUGGGCUACACACGUGCUACAAUGGUGGUGACAGUGGGCAGCGAGCACGCGAGUGUGAGCUAAUCUCCAAAAGCCAUCUCAGUUCGGAUUGCACUCUGCAACUCGAGUGCAUGAAGUUGGAAUCGCUAGUAAUCGCGGAUCAGCAUGCCGCGGUGAAUGCGUUCCCGGGCCUU
rnacentral:rRNA from 1 species